CAUCAUCACAUCACCACACCACCAUCAUCACAUCACCACACCACCAUCAUCACCAUCACCACCAUCAUCACAUCACCAUCACCAUCACCAAACCACCAUCAUCACAUCACCAUCACCACACCACCAUCAUGACCAUCACCAUCAUCAUCACAUCACCAUCAUCAUACCACCACCACACCACCAUCACCACAAUCAUCAUCACACCACCAUCAUCACAUCACCAUCACCACACCAUCACAUCAUCACCACAAUCAUCACCAUCACUACACCACCAUCAUCACAUCGUCAUCAUAACCACCAACCAGCAGCGUAGCCAGCCCGACGAUUUAGUCCCGCUAUGCAAAUAUUUUCGUGCUCAUCGACUGUGAAAACAAUCAAUUUCUAAAUAAAUGAAUAAUGAUAAUAAUUUUGAAUUUGCAUAGCGGGACUGAAUUGUCCAUCAUCAUCAUCAUCACAUUCAUAAUCAUCAUCACUGAUUCGGUUAUUUUUUCAAAUUUUUUGUACAAAACGGCAAAAAUAAAUUAAUGUUUUACACUUUUAACCACAGAACUGUCGAUUUCUAACAUAUAUAAAGUACGUAUGUUAUUUUGCUUUCUAUGGGCUUUAUUUUAAUUCAAAAAGUCAAGACGAAACGCUUCGUAAAACGUUCUUAAACGUUGAUUGAAAUCAACUGUUUUUGCCAAUAAAUUCUUCAACUUUACAUUACUCGUAGUUUGAAAUAAAAUAAAUUUGAAUGA